CUCUGUUUGACAGCGCGGCCCUGCUGGCUUCCUGCUCUGCUCUGUGGCCUUGGACACGCUUCUAAGCCAAUCCCUUCAGGCCCUGGCCAUGCCCAGUGCCAGUCACCUGGGGUGGAUGCUUAUUUUGUUUCAAACACAUGAACAUGUCCUCAUUGUGUAGAGGCAAUGUUUGGGACGCUCUGCAAACAGUAUCUCAGUGACUGCUCACGACAACUCUAUGGUGCAAUCACUUUGUCGUGCCCAUUUUACAGAUGAGGACAGAAAGCCUCCAUGAGCCCACUGCUUCCGUCUGCACAGAGCAGUCCCACCAUCACCGUCACAGCCGAGCACAGAGCAGUCCCGGGACCCGGGGGGAGGCCGACCACUGCUCUUCCCGACCUAACGCUGCAGCCACGGGGGCCCCGGGUGCGAAGCAGCUGACAUUCACUCACUGAGCUGGGACUGAGCUGAGCUCUUAAAAUGUCAAGCUCUGUCUCGUCACUGAAUAUUUUACACCAAAGCUUCCUAAUUAGGGAUAUGCUUUAUGUAAAAAAUCGCUUGCCUAGAAAUGAUCAAAACAAUUAGAAGCAAAACCCUGCUAAUUUUUAUUUACUGCCACAUAAAUAUAAUAUUUAAGGUGAAAAUAUGGAAUUGUUUUCCUUGGGGUCAGUUCAUGUUGUCUGGAUGCCCGUGAAGAACUUAAAAGCAUUUUAUGGCUGUUAAUGGAACUUGGUAAAAAGUGUUGAUUAAAGGCGAGCAUGGGGAAUUCCUUAUGUAUGACACAUCUCCAUAACAUAUGAUGAAACGCAUUUUGUAUUAAUUUAUUACGGAAAAGGUAGUCAAAAUUAAUCAAACAUUAUAAAGUGAGUUCCCUUAAUCUA